ACGAACGCUGGCGGCGUGCCUAAUACAUGCAAGUCGAGCGGACUGAUUAAGAGCUUGCUCUUAUGACGUUAGCGGCGGACGGGUGAGUAACACGUGGGCAACCUGCCCUGUAGAUCGGGAUAACACCGAGAAAUCGGUGCUAAUACCGGGUAAUAUCUGAGAUCACAUGAUCUUAGGUUAAAAGAUGGCUCCGGCUAUCACUACAGGAUGGGCCCGCGGCGCAUUAGCUAGUUGGUAAGGUAAUGGCUUACCAAGGCGACGAUGCGUAGCCGACCUGAGAGGGUGAUCGGCCACACUGGGACUGAGACACGGCCCAGACUCCUACGGGAGGCAGCAGUAGGGAACCUUCCGCAAUGGACGAAAGUCUGACGGAGCAACGCCGCGUGAGUGAUGAAGGGUUUCGGCUCGUAAAGCUCUGUUGUUAGGGAAGAAACAGUACCGAACGAACUAGGUCGGUACCUUGACGGUACCUAACCAGAAAGCCACGGCUAACUACGUG
rnacentral:rRNA from 1 species